UCCUACGGGGCGCAGCAGUAGGGAAUAUUGCUCAAUGGGGGAAACCCUGAAGCAGCAACGCCGCGUGGAGGAUGAAGGUUUUAGGAUUGUAAACUCCUUUUGUUAGAGAAGAUUAUGACGGUAUCUAACGAAUAAGCACCGGCUAACUCCGUGCCAGCAGCCGCGGUAAUACGUAGGUGGCAAGCGUUGUUCGGAAUAACUGGGCGUAAAGGAUGCGUAGGCGGUUAAACAAGUUAUAUGUUUAAUAUAUAGGCUUAACCUGUAGAAAGCAUAUAACACUGUUUAACUA
rnacentral:rRNA from 1 species